rnacentral:lncRNA from 1 species
GGCAGCCACAUCAACACUGUAUCCCCAGAGUCCCACCACCCAACAGACACAGUCCCCAGAGUCCCACACCCAACAGACACAGUCUCCAGAGUCCCACCACCAACAGACCCCGUCUCCAGAGUCCCACCCCCAACAGACACCGUCCCAAGUCCCACCACCCAACAGACACCGUCUCCAGAGUCCCACCACCCAACAGACACAGUCUCCAGAGUCCCACACCCAACAGACACCCAGUCUCCAGAGUCCCACCACCCAACAGACACAGUCCCCAGAGUCCCACCACCCAGCCAAGACACAGUCUCCAGAGUCCCACACCCAACAGACACAGUCCCCAGAGUCCCACCACCCAACAGACACCGUCUCCAGGUCCCACCACCCAACAGACACAGUCUCAGAGUCCCACACCCAACAGACACAGUCCCCAGAGUCCCACCACCCAACAGACACAGUCCCCAGAGUCCCACCACCCAACAGACACAGUCUCCAGAGUCCCACACCCAACAGACACCGUCCAGAGUCCCACACCCAACAGACACAGUCUCCAGAGUCCCACACCCAACAGACACAGUCCCCAGAGUCCCACCACCCAACAGACACCGUCUCCAGGGGCCCACCACCCAACAGACACAGUCUCCAGAGUCCCACACCCAACAGACACACAGUCCCCAGAGUCCCACCACCCAACAGACACCAUCUCCAGAGUCCCACACCCAGCAGGGCAGUCCCCAGGAGUCCCACAUGAGCCACGGUCUCCAGAGGUCCCACACCCAACAGACACAGUCCCCAGAGUCCCACCACCCAACAGACGCCGUCUCCAGAGUCCCACACCCAACAGACACCGUCUCCAGAGUCCCACACCCAACAGACACCGUCUCCCAAGAGUCCCACACCCAACAGACACAGUCCCCAGAGUCCCACCACCCAACAGACACCGUCUCUAGAGUCCCACCACCCAACAGACACACGUCUCCAGAGUCCCACACCCAACAGACACCGUCUCCAGAGUCCCUACCCAGCAGACACGUCCCCAGGGGUCCACCUUGA